rnacentral:lncRNA from 1 species
UCAGUUUUUUUUGAUACACCCUGUAUAAUGAGUUCUAGCUAUAUGUUUCAUCGAGUUUUGCAACCACUUUUAUUCUAUUGACUACGGUUAGCUUACUUAACAAGUCCUUAUAUAACACUUAAAUAAUAUUCCAAGUUCAAGUUAAAGAUUGGUAGUUGUCCUCCACAUCUCUGGUUUUGCUCAACUGCGUGUAAGUAGAGUCAUCGUCAUUUGUAGCGUCAUUAUAUACGGCGGCAUUCACUCUCAACGACUGAUAGUUAUCUUCUGUGUUCAUUUUUGAAAGAUCAAGCUCCUGGUAAGUUGUAUCAGCUUCAGUUGUCUUUGUUUCAGGGUUUCGUUCAGGCUUCCUGUUUCUAAACCAACGACUACGCGAAUACGAG